AGCUCCAAUAGCGUAUAUUAAAGUUGUUGCAGUUAAAAAGCUCGUAGUUGGAUUUCUGGCAGGAGUGACCGGUCACACACUCUGUGUGUGAACUCGCGUUGUCUCUGGCCAUCCUUGGGGAGAUCCUGUUUGGCAUUAAGUUGUCGGGCAGGGGAUACCCAUCGUUUACUGUGAAAAAAUUAGAGUGUUUAAAGCAGGCUUAUGCCGUUGAAUAUAUUAGCAUGGAAUAAUAAGAUAGGACUUCGGAACUAUUUUGUUGGUUUGCGUUACGAAGUAAUGAUUAAUAGGGACAGUUGGGGGUAUUCGUAUUUCGUUGUCAGAGGUGAAAUUCUUGGAUUUCCGAAAGACGAACUACUGCGAAAGCAUUUACCAAGGAUGUUUUCAUUA
rnacentral:rRNA from 1 species